GGAUGGCCGGGAGGGAUGACCCCACCGGUGGCCGGGAGGAAUGACCCCACCGGGAGGUGGUGAUCCUCUGCUGUCCCGUCCCUGGACGACCUGUGCGCACCAGGCUGGGCGCAUCUCCUCUCCAGUGCCCGCCCCGCCUGGACCGCGCUGCGCCGGCCCAGCCCCACCCCGCAACCAGGUAGUCCCGUUCCUGGUCCUGGCUCAGCUGGGUUCUCUGUCCCAGCCCUCCCAACGCGGGGGCUCAGAGGACACCGGGAGGACGAGAGGACACAGGGAGGGACCGGAGAGCGCCGGGGAGACACUAGGACCUGAUGAGAACCGGCUGAGGCAGAAGUGGAGGUCGGCUCCAAAUUGUGUGGACAGGUGGCCUGCACCCAGGGUUCACUGAGACCCGCUGGCAGCGAUUGUGGACAGCAGGAUUUGUCUAGCUGCGGAUUAGCACAGCAAAACAAAAUGGUCCUUAAUUGCCAGAUCUUUAAAAACGUGUCCUGGGAGUUCCCAUCAUGGCUCAGUGGUUCACGAAUCUGACUAGGAACCAUGAGGUUGUGGGUUCGAUCCCUGGCCCUGCUCAGUGGGUUAAGGAUUCGGCAUUGUCCUGAGCUGUGAUGUAGGUUGCAGACACGGCUUGAUCCCGUGUUGCUGUGGCUCUGGUGUAGGCCAGCGGCUACAGCUCCGGUUAGACCCCUAACCUGGGAACCUCCACAUGCCGCAGAAGCGGCCCUAGAAAAGGCAAAAAGAAAAAGAAAAAAAAAAAAAAAAAAAAAAAAAAAAAAAAAGUGUCCUGACAGCCUUGAUAGCUAAGUGGCUUGUGACUCAAGCAGUUCCAGGUGCCUAAGAGACAGCAAUGCCGAGCAGAACACGGCCCCAGGUUGGCUCCAGAGGAUCUGCCUGCCUACCUGAGGCAUGGAGGACUUCCCUGAAGGAAGUGUGGUCUGCUUUGUUAUAGAGUUAAAUGAAUGCUCUGAAAGGAAAGAGACUACAAAGAGGCAGAGUGGUCCUAAAGCAAGCCCAGAGCCAAGGGCGUGGUGGCAGAAGUCCCAGGGCCACUCUGAGGUCCUCAGCCAGCUUCCGCCUCAGGGCCCUGGCACUGCCAUUCCUCUGCCUGGAAUGCACUUCCAUCAGAGGCCUGCAGAGCUCCCUCUGUGUGCACACAUCACAUCUUCAGAGGGAAACAGCGACCCUCACCAUCCCCUCUGCCUCCUGCCGCUGGAAAAAUCAGUCCCAGGAGAAAGGAACCUCAAUUACC
rnacentral:lncRNA from 1 species